rnacentral:rRNA from 1 species
ACACGACCGUACCGCAAACCGACACUGGUGCGCGAGAUGAGUAUUCUAAGGCGCUUGAGAGAACUCAGGAGAAGGAACUCGGCAAAUUGACACCGUAACUUCGGAAGAAGGUGUGCCUUUAGUAGGUGAAGUCCCUCGCGGAUGGAGCCCAAUGAGGUUGCAAAAAAUCGGUGGCUGCGACUGUUUAUUAAAAACACAGCACUCUGCAAACACGAAAGUGGACGUAUAGGGUGUGACGCCUGCCCGGUGCUGGAAGAUUAAAUGAUGGGGUGCAAGCUCUUGAUUGAAGUCCCAGUAAACGGCGGCCGUAACAAUAACGGUCCUAAGGUAGCGAAAUUCCUUGUCGGGUAAGUUCCGACCUGCACGAAUGGCGUAACGAUGGCCACACUGUCUCCUCCUGAGACUCAGCGAAGUUGAAAUGUUUGUGAUGAUGCAAUCUCCCCGCGGAAAGACGGAAAGACCCCAUGAACCUUUACUGUAGCUUUGUAUUGGACUUUGAACAGAUCUGUGUAGGAUAGGUGGGAGGCUUUGAAGCAGGGUCGCUAGAUCUUGUGGAGCCAACGUUGAAAUACCACCCUGGUGUGUUUGAGGUUCUAACCUAGGCCCGUAAUCCGGGUUGGGGACAGUGCAUGGUAGGCAGUUUGACUGGGGCGGUCUCCUCCCAAAGUGUAACGGAGGAGUUCGAAGGUACGCUAGUUACGGUCGGACAUCGUGACGAUAGUGCAAUGGCAUAAGCGUGCUUAACUGCGAGACUGACAAGUCGAGCAGAUGCGAAAGCAGGACAUAGUGAUCCGGUGGUUCUGUAUGGAAGGGCCAUCGCUCAACGGAUAAAAGGUACUCUGGGGAUAACAGGCUGAUACCGCCCAAGAGUUCAUAUCGACGGCGGUGUUUGGCACCUCGAUGUCGGCUCAUCUCAUCCUGGGGCUGUAGCCGGUCCCAAGGGUAUGGCUGUUCGCCAUUUAAAGAGGUACGUGAGCUGGGUUUAAAACGUCGUGAGACAGUUUGGUCCCUAUCUUCCGUGGGCGCUGCAGAUUUGAGGAAGCCUGCUCCUAGUACGAGAGGACCGGAGUGGACGCACCUCUGGUGUAUCGGUUGUCACGCCAGUGGCAUUGCCGAGUAGCUAUGUGCGGAAGAGAUAACCGCUGAAAGCAUCUAAGCGGGAAACUCGUUUCAAGAUGAGAUCUGCCGGGGCCUUGAGCCCCCUGAAGAGUCGUUCAAGACCAGGACGUUGAUAGGUCGGGUGUGGAAGCGCAGUAAUGCGUUAAGCUAACCGGUACUAAUUGCUCGUGCGGCUUGACCA